rnacentral:tRNA from 2 species
GGGCCUCUAGCUCAUGCUUAGGUUAGAGCAGCGGACUCAUAAUCCGUUGGUGCCGAGUUCGACUCUCGGGGGGCCCACCA